GGCUUAGAGUUUGAUCAUGGCUCAGGAUGAACGCUGGCGGCGUGCCUAACACAUGCAAGUCGAGCGAAGCACUUUGCUUUGAAUCUUUCGGGAGGACGAGUGAUUUGACUGAGCGGCGGACGGGUGAGUAACGCGUGGGCAACCUGCCUCACACAGGGGGAUAACAGUUAGAAAUGACUGCUAAUACCGCACAAGGCCACAGCACCGCAUGGUGCAGGGGUAAAAACUCCGGUGGUGUGAGAUGGGCCCGCGUCUGAUUAGGUAGUUGGUGAGGUAACGGCUCACCAAGCCGACGAUCAGUAGCCGACCUGAGAGGGUGACCGGCCACAUUGGGACUGAGACACGGCCCAAACUCCUACGGGAGGCAGCAGUGGGGAAUAUUGCACAAUGGGGGAAACCCUGAUGCAGCGACGCCGCGUGAGCGAUGAAGUAUUUCGGUAUGUAAAGCUCUAUCAGCAGGGAAGAAACUGACGGUACCUGACUAAGAAGCACCGGCUAAAUACGUGCCAGCAGCCGCGGUAAUACGUAUGGUGCAAGCGUUAUCCGGAUUUACUGGGUGUAAAGGGAGCGUAGACGGACUUGCAAGUCUGAAGUGAAAGCCCGGGGCUCAACCCCGGGACUGCUUUGGAAACUGUAGGUCUAGAGUGCUGGAGAGGUAAGUG
rnacentral:rRNA from 1 species